UGAGUUUGAUCCUGGUUCAGGAUGAACGCUAGCGGCAGGCUUAACACAUGCAAGUCGAAGGGCAGCGGGGUGAGUGCUUGCACUCACUGCCGGCGACUGGCGCACGGGUGAGUAACACGUAUGCAACCUGCCCUCCACAGGGGGACAACCUUCCGAAAGGGAGGCUAAUCCCGCGUAUCUCGUUCCGGGGCAUCCCGGGGUGAUGAAAGGUUUCGGCCGGUGGAGGAUGGGCAUGCGGCGCAUUAGGCAGACGGCGGGGUAACGGCCCACCGUACCGACGAUGCGUAGGGGUUCUGAGAGGAAGGUCCCCCACACUGGUACUGAGACACGGACCAGACUCCUACGGGAGGCAGCAGUGAGGAAUAUUGGUCAAUGGGCGGGAGCCUGAACCAGCCAAGCCGCGUGAGGGAAGAAGGCCCUACGGGUUGUAAACCUCUUUUGCCGGGGAGCAAAGGCGGUCACUUGUGACCGGAUGAGAGUACCCGGAGAAAAAGCAUCGGCUAACUCCGUGCCAGCAGCCGCGGUAAUACGGAGGAUGCGAGAGUUAUCCGGAUUUAUUGGGUUUAAAGGGUGCGUAGGCGGAGAGCCAAGUCAGCGGUAAAAUCGUGGGGCCCAACCCCAUCCCGCCGUUGAAACUGGCUUCCUUGAGUGGAUGAGAAGUAUGCGGAAUGCGUGGUGUAGCGGUGAAAUGCUUAGAUAUCACGCAGAACCCCGAUUGCGAAGGCAGCCUGCCAAGCCAUGACUGACGCUGAUGCACGAAAGCGUGGGGAUCAAACAGGAUUAGAUACCCUGGUAGUCCACGCAGUAAACGAUGAUCACUAGCUGUUUGCGAUACAGUGUAAGCGGCACAGCGAAAGCGUUAAGUGAUCCACCUGGGGAGUACGCCGGCAACGGUGAAACUCAAAGGAAUUGACGGGGGCCCGCACAAGCGGAGGAACAUGUGGUUUAAUUCGAUGAUACGCGAGGAACCUUACCCGGGUUUGAACGCAUUCGGACCGAGGUGGAAACACCUCUUCUAGCAAUAGCCGUUUGCGAGGUGCUGCAUGGUUGUCGUCAGCUCGUGCCGUGAGGUGUCGGCUUAAGUGCCACAACGAGCGCAACCC
rnacentral:rRNA from 1 species